rnacentral:snoRNA from 1 species
AUGACUAUACUUUCAGGGAUCAUUUCUAUAGUUUGUGAAGUUUGCUCCCAAAUUUGAAGGCUGACCUUGAGGAGGGCCAACCUCAAGGC